CCUACGGGAGGCAGCAGUGGGGAAUAUUGGACAAUGGGCGAAAGCCUGAUCCAGCAAUGCCGCGUGAGUGAAGAAGGCCUUCGGGUUGUAAAGCUCUUUUACCCGGGAAGAUAAUGACUGUACCGGGAGAAUAAGCUCCGGCUAACUCCGUGCCAGCAGCCGCGGUAAUACGGAGGGAGCUAGCGUUGUUCGGAAUUACUGGGCGUAAAGCGUACGUAGGCGGCUUGGUAAGUCAGAGGUGAAAGCCCACGACUCAAUCGUGGAACUGCCUUUGAGACUGCUUCGCUUGAAGAUGGGAGAGGUUAGUGGAAUUCCGAGUGUAGAGGUGAAAUUCGUAGAUAUUCGGAAGAACACCAGUGGUGAAGGCGGCUAACUGGACCAUUCUUGACGCUGAGGUACGAAAGCGUGGGGAGCAAACAGGAUUAGAUACCCUGGUAGUCCACGCCGUAAACGAUGAUAACUAGCUGUCGGGGCUCUUGGAGCUUCGGUGGCGCAGCUAACGCAUUAGUUAUCCGCCUGGGGAGUACGGCCGCAAGGUUAAACUCAAAUGAAUUGACGG
rnacentral:rRNA from 1 species